GAUGAACGCUGGCGGCGUGCCUAAUACAUGCAAGUCGAGCGAACAGACGAGGAGCUUGCUCCUCUGACGUUAGCGGCGGACGGGUGAGUAACACGUGGAUAACCUACCUAUAAGACUGGGAUAACUUCGGGAAACCGGAGCUAAUACCGGAUAAUAUAUUGAACCGCAUGGUUCAAUAGUGAAAGACGGUUUUGCUGUCACUUAUAGAUGGAUCCGCGCCGCAUUAGCUAGUUGGUAAGGUAACGGCUUACCAAGGCAACGAUGCGUAGCCGACCUGAGAGGGUGAUCGGCCACACUGGAACUGAGACACGGUCCAGACUCCUACGGGAGGCAGCAGUAGGGAAUCUUCCGCAAUGGGCGAAAGCCUGACGGAGCAACGCCGCGUGAGUGAUGAAGGUCUUCGGAUCGUAAAACUCUGUUAUUAGGGAAGAACAAAUGUGUAAGUAACAAUGCACGUCUUGACGGUACCUAAUCAGAAAGCCACGGCCAACUACGUG
rnacentral:rRNA from 1 species